UGGAGCAUGUGGUUUAAUUCGAAGCAACGCGAAGAACCUUUACCAGGUCUUGACAUCCCGAUGCUAUUCUAGAGAUAGAAAGUUACUUCGGUACAUCGGUGACAGGUGGUGCAUGGUUGUCGUCAGCUCGUGUCGUGAGAUGUUGGGUUAAGUCCCGCAACGAGCGCAACCCCUAUUGUUAGUUGCCAUCAUUCAGUUGGGCACUCUAGCGAGACUGCCGGUAAUAAACCGGAGGAAGGUGGGAUGACGUCAAAUCAUCAUGCCCCUUAUGACCUGGGCUACACACGUGCUACAAUGGUUGGUACAACGAGUUGCGAGUCGGUGACGGCGAGCUAAUCUCUUAAAGCCAAUCUCAGUUCGGAUUGUAGGCUGCAGCUCGCCUACAUGAAGUCGGAAUCGCUAGUAAUCGCGGAUCAGCACGCCGCGGUGAAUACGUUCCCGGGCCUU
rnacentral:rRNA from 1 species